AACUUUCAACAACGGAUCUCUUGGCUCUCGCAUCGAUGAAGAACGCAGCGAAAUGCGAUAAGUAAUGUGAAUUGCAGAAUUCAGUGAAUCAUCGAAUCUUUGAACGCACCUUGCGCUCCUUGGUAUUCCGAGGAGCAUGCCUGUUUGAGUAUCA
rnacentral:rRNA from 1 species